UGUUGAACCAUAAAGCUCUGGUUUUGUGCUUUUCUACUUACAUUGCUCUAAGGUAAUUUGUUGUUUUUAAAUUCCUAAACAAAAUCUGUAUCUUUUAAGUCAUGGAGGUGCGUAAAAGAGCUGUGACAGAAGAGAAAGUGCAAGCUGUUGUGCCCAAACCCAAAGAACCAACACCAACAAAAGUGCCCGAAGUAUCCAAGAAACUUGUACGGAAAGAAAAAGUCCCUGCUCCUGCACCUGUGGUGGAGAAGUAUGAGUAUGCCUAUGAAGAAUAUGAGAAGUAUGAGACAUAUGAAAGCAUUGAAGAGUUUGAGAAGAUUCAGGAAGCUGAAGAAAUUGAGGCGUACGAGGAACCUGAAGAACCUGAGGGGUAUAAGGAAAUUCUGGAACAUGAAUAUGAAGUGGAAGCUGAGGAGAAAGAUGUCUAUGAACAGUAUGAGUUUAAGGAGAAGGAAGAGAUCUAUGAGAAGUAUGAGGAGGUAUAUGAGGAGGCUUAUGAGGCCAAACCAGCCAUAGUGCCUGAGUUGCCCAAAAGACCUCUGCCAGAAGAAAAAGUACCUGCUCUUAAAAGAGAAGCUCCACCAGCUAAAGUGCCAGCAGUGCCAAAGAAACCUGUUCCAAAAGAGAAAGUACCACCUGCUGUUCCUAAAAAGGAAGCGCCUCCACCUGCUAAAGGGCCAGAUGAUUUCAAAAGACCUGUCCCUGCAGAAAAGAAACCGACACGUACACCUGAAAUAGAAGUUCCACCAAUGAAAGUUCCUGAGUUUCAUAAGAGAGCUGUCCUUGAAGAGAAGGUACCCACCAUUACCCCUAGAGAAGAGGAGCCUCCUUUUUAUGAAGAACCUGAAGGUUAUGGAGAAGUUCCAACAGAAGAAAAGAUGCCUUUUAUUACUCCUAGUGAACCAGAAGCUCCAGCAGCUAAAGGUAAACCAACUCUUCAAGCAAUCUGUAAAGAAACACAUUCCUACAAAUUUUUCAUCUUCAUCAU
rnacentral:lncRNA from 1 species